rnacentral:rRNA from 1 species
AAUUGAGAGUUUGAUCCUGGCUCAGGACGAACGCUGGCGGCGUGCUUAACACAUGCAAGUCGAACGGAAAGGCCCUGCUUUUGUGGGGUGCUCGAGUGGCGAACGGGUGAGUAACACGUGGAUAACCUGCCUCAAGGCUGGGGAUAACAUUUGGAAACAGAUGCUAAUACCGAAUAAAACUUAGUAUCGCAUGAUACAAAGUUGAAAGGCGCUACGGCGUCACCUAGAGAUGGAUCCGCGGUGCAUUAGUUAGUUGGUGAGGUAGGGCUCACCAAGACCGUGA